GACGGUCGGCGCUGGAGUCGGCGAGCUCUGCGCCGGACGCGGCGAGGCGGGGUCUGAUGGGCAUGGCAGGCGCUCGCUCGCUCCUCGCUCGCUCCUCGCUUGCUCCCUCACACACGCGCGGAGGGGAGGCGAAGCCGCAGCAGCCACUUCCCAACUUUCCAAACUUCCCAGCGCAACUUUUUCCUCUCCUCCCCUACCCGCUCCUCCUCCUCCUCCCUCCUCCUUCCCUUUCCCCUGGCCUGCUCCCCGCCGGGCCGGAGCUUCCGCGCGCCGCCGCCAGAGGGUGCCCGGGCCGAGGACCUGCUCGGCGACUCGCAGGCUCAGAGGGUCUGGCACCAUGUGACCUCUGACUCUUGUCCGAAGUCAAAAUGACCGUGAAAUGUAAGCAUUUUGAGUUGAUUCAGGAUAUGAAGAUAGCAUGACAAUGCAAGUAAAGACACUGAUGAACGAGCACUUCCAGAGCUGCUUCAGAAAGAGGUUAAGAAUAACGAGGUAAACGCUUUCUAAGGGAGGGGAGUAUUUUGAAAGGGGCUAUUGGCAAUAUAUCUUUACUGUAAUAAAAUUUUUUGUAAUAAAAAUUUUUAAAAAUUCAAA
rnacentral:lncRNA from 1 species